UUAAGCUACAAAGAGCGUAGGGUGAAUAGCUAGGCACCAAGAGCCGAAGAAGGACGUGAUAAGCUGCGAAAAGCUUUGGGUAGGAGCAAAUAUCCAUUAAUCCAGAGAUAUCCGAAUGAGGGAACUCACUUAGAGCAAACAAUCUAAGUAUCCAUAUAUGAGUAAAGUAGUAUAUGAGAAGGGAACGUGGGGAACUGAAACAUCUUAGUACCCACAGGAAAAGAAAGAGAAAUCGAUUCCUAGAGUAGUGGCGAGCGAAAUAGGAAGAGCCUAAACCAUGAGUAGUAAUACACAUGGGGUUCGGACCACGAUAUAUUAUCAAUAAUUCUAAUAGAAAUGUUUUGGAAAAGCAUACCAUAGACGGUGAAAGUCCAGUAUAUGAAAGAAAAGUUGAGAUUAGUGGUAUCCAGAGUAGUACGAGACACGAGAAAUCUCGUAUGAAUAAGCGGGGACCAUCCCGUAAGGCUAAAUACUACUUGGUGACCGAUAGUGAACUAGUACCGUGAGGGAAAGGUGAAAAGAACCCCGGGAGGGGAGUGAAAUAGAACAUGAAACCCUAUGUUUACAAGCAGACAAAGCACUUUAUAUGUGCGAUGUCGUACUUUUUGUAGAACGGUCCAGCGAGUUAUUGUGUAUGGCGAGGUUAAGUAUUACGUAAGGUACGGAGCCGAAGCGAAAGCGAGUCUGAAAAGGGCGAUAUAAGUCAUGCAUAAUAGACCCGAAACUGAGUGACCUAUCCAUGAGCAGGAUGAAGCUAGAGUAAAAUCUAGUGGAGGUCCGAACUGAUUGUCGUUAAAAAGGCACCGGAUGACUUGUGGAUAGCGGAGAAAUUCCAAUCGAACUCAGAGAUAGCUGGUUCUCCUCGAAAUAGCUUUAGGGCUAGCCUUGAGGGAAUGCAUAUGGGGGUAGAGCACUGAAUGAGGUAGGGGCCUAACCAGGUUACCAAACUCUAUCAAACUCCGAAUACCAUAUGUAAAUACUCAGGAGUCAGACUGCGGGAGCUAAGUUCCGUGGUCAAAAGGAAAACAGUCCAGAUCGUCAAUUAAGGUCCCAAAGAUAUAGCUAAGUGGAAAACGAUGUGAUUUUGCAUAAACAACCAGGAUGUUGGCUCAGAAGCAGCCAUUCAUUCAAAGAGUGCGUAAUAGCUCACUGGUCGAGUGAAGUUGCGCGGAAAAUUACCGGGGCUAAGCUAUACACCGAAAUUGCGGAUUUACAUUUGAAAGACAAUGUAAGUGGUAGAGGAGCAUUCUGUAGUAGGAAGAAGCAUGACCGUAAGGACAUGUGGACGAAGCAGAAGAGAGAAUGCUGGAAUAAGUAGCGAGAGGAUGGUGAGAAUCCAUCCCGUCGAAAAUCUAAGGUUUCCCAGGGAAGGUUCGUCCGCCUGGGGUAAGUCGGGACCUAAGGAGAGGCCGAAAGGCGUAUCUGAUGGAUAGCAGGUUGAAAUUCCUGCACUACGAAUAUACUUAAAAGAUUCAAGGGACGCAGAAGUGGAAGAUAACCAAGUAAGAGGAAAAGCUUGGCUCGCAAGAGGGAGUGAAAAUUAAAAGUAACGAAGUAUCAAGAAGCACGCUGACGAGAAAAGCUUGAAGAUAUUGUAUAUAAGUACCCGUACCGCAAACCGACACAGGUAGAUGAGGAGAGGAUCCUAAGACGAGCGGGAGAAGCAUUGUUAAGGAACUCGGCAAAUUAACCCCGUAACUUCGGAAUAAGGGGUGCUGAUGUAACAGUCAGUCGCAGAGAAAAGGCCCAAGCAACUGUUUAACAAAAACAUAGGUUUCUGCUAAAUCGAAAGAUGAAGUAUAGGAGCUGACGCCUGCCCAGUGCUGGAAGGUUAAGGGAAAGAGUUAGGGUUAAACCGAAGCUUAGAACUGAAGCCCCAGUGAACGGCGGCCGUAACUAUAACGGUCCUAAGGUAGCGAAAUUCCUUGUCAGGUAAG
rnacentral:rRNA from 1 species